UACGUAGGGUGCAAGCGUUGUCCGGAAUUAUUGGGCGUAAAGAGCUCGUAGGCGGUCUGUCGCGUCGGAUGUGAAAGCCCCUGGCUCAACUGGGGAAGUGCACCCGAAACUGAAUGGCUUGAGUGCGAAAGAGGGUCGCGGAAUUCCCGGUGUAGAGGUGAAAUUCGUAGAUAUCGGGAGGAACACCGGUGGCGAAGGCGGGUCUCUGGGCCGAUACUGACGCUGAGGAGCGAAAGCGUGGGGAUCAAACAGG
rnacentral:rRNA from 1 species